GUUGAUCUCGGUGGAAUUUGAACUCAGAACGCGAGGACGGAUAAGAUGUCGCUACAUUUUGCCCGGCUUGUUAACGAUUCUGCCAGCUCGCCGCCUUCAAGCGAAUUUCAAUAAUACUACGCCAAAUAUCUUGCGCAAGGAUGACAUUUGAAUAACAUUUGAACGCAAAGUGUUGGCGAGCCUCUGAUCUCUGAAAAUAGCAAAAUAAAACUUUUCUGGACAGUAGCCGGAUUUCACAAAUUUAAAUAUCAUGCCAGACACUUUUUGCCUGUAACCUUUUUCAUCGAAUCGGCGGAGUAAAAGAAAAAAAAAGAAUGGCACACCAAUUCAUUUUUGAGAGAAACAUUAGAGAUUUUUAUCUAAACGCGGUAGUUCAAUUCGUAAUUUGAAAGUAUGAGAGAAACACAAUCAUGUGAGUGAAAACUUAACUACAGCAAGGAUUAUUAGCUGAUACAUUACG